rnacentral:tRNA from 1 species
UGGGACGUCGUCCAAUGGUAGGACACGAGAAUUUGGAUCUCGUUAUUGUGGUUCGAAUCCACACGUCCCAGCCA